rnacentral:rRNA from 1 species
GCUUAACACAUGCAAGUCGAGCGGAGAUGAGGUGCUUGCACCUUAUCUUAGCGGCGGACGGGUGAGUAAUGCUUAGGAAUCUGCCUAUUAGUGGGGGACAACAUUCCGAAAGGAAUGCUAAUACCGCAUACGUCCUACGGGAGAAUCCGGGCAGUAAAAGUAGCAAUGCGCUGUGAGAGGGGCCCGCGGCCGAUUAGCUUGUUGGUGGGGUAACGGCCUACCAAGGCGACGAUCGGUAGCUGGUCUGAGAGGAUGGUCAGCCACACGGGGACUGAGAUACGGCCCCGACUCCUACGGGAGGCAGCAGCUAAGAAUCUUGCGCAAUGGGCGAAAGCCUGACGCAGCAACGCCGCGUGGGGGACGAAGGCCCUCGGGUCGUAAACCCCUUUUGCGAGGGAAGAAGUUCUGACGGUACCUCGCGAAUAAGCCACGGCUAACUUCGUGCCAGCAGCCGCAGUAACAC